GACGAACGCUGGCGGCGUGCUUAACACAUGCAAGUCGAACGGAAAGGCCCUGCUUUUGUGGGGUGCUCGAGUGGCGAACGGGUGAGUAACACGUGAGUAACCUGCCCUUGACUUUGGGAUAACUUCAGGAAACUGGGGCUAAUACCGGAUAGGAGCUCCUGCUGCAUGGUGGGGGUUGGAAAGUUUCGGCGGUUGGGGAUGGACUCGCGGCUUAUCAGCUUGUUGGUGGGGUAGUGGCUUACCAAGGCUUUGACGGGUAGCCGGCCUGAGAGGGUGACCGGCCACAUUGGGACUGAGAGACGGCCCAGACUCCUACGGGAGGCAGCAGUGGGGAAUAUUGCACAAUGGGCGGAAGCCUGAUGCAGCAACGCCGCGUGCGGGAUGACGGCCUUCGGGUUGUAAACCGCUUUCGCCUGUGACGAAGCGUGAGGGACGGUAAUGGGUAAAGAAGCACCGGCUAACUACGU
rnacentral:rRNA from 1 species